rnacentral:rRNA from 1 species
AGUGAACGCUGGCGGUAGGCCUAACACAUGCAAGUCGAACGGCAGCACAGUAAGAGCUUGCUCUUACGGGUGGCGAGUGGCGGACGGGUGAGGAAUACAUCGGAAUCUACUUUUUCGUGGGGGUUAACGUAGGGAAAGUUACGAUAAUACCGCAUACGACCUACGGGUGAAAGCAGGGGAUCUUCGGACCUUGCGCGAUUGAAUGAGCCGAUGUCGGAUUAGCUAGUUGGCGGGGGAAAGGCCCACCAAGGCGACGAUCCGUAGCUGGUCUGUGAGGAUGAUCGGCCACACUGGAACUGAGACACGGUCCAGACUCCUACGGGAGGCAGCAGUGGGGAAUAUUGGACAAUGGGCGCAAGCCUGAUCCAGCCAUACCGCGUGGGUGAAGAAGGCCUUCGGGUUGUAAAGCCCUUUUGUUGGGAAAGAAAAGCAGCAGGUUAAUACCCCGCUGUUCUGACGGUACCCAAAGAAUAAGCACCGGCUAACUUCGUG